CCUGCGAUUUAACGUUUAACCCGUUAAACGGUUAAUCUUCUCUAUAAAGGAGAAGCAGAAACGGCGGUCACGCACGUGUGGUUGCCCCGUGCGACACGAACGUAAAUGAACGUAAUGGGGGAAUAAAUGUUUAGGGACCCCGUCGUCGUCACGACGUAAUUGAAACAUUUUUAAACGAUAGUUAGAAAUAUUU